ensembl:snoRNA Gm22830 small nucleolar RNA SNORA61
ACCCUCCGGUUUCCCUUUCCCAUCUGAUCUCCAUGCUGGUCUUGGUGGUCGUAAAGCGGGAAGAGCACCUUGAAGCUGGCCUCACAGCGAUGCAGUUUGCUGUAGAGCAGCAGGCCAGACUCAAACAUGC